rnacentral:lncRNA from 1 species
UUUUAUAGUGAUAUAAACAACAUGUCAAUAAUCAGAGGGCUCUAAAAGUACAGGCUGACCAAUAGCCUACUAUUAAUUCACAAACUGCCACUCUGGGAAUCAUUGCUGAGGCAUAAAUGUGAUAUGGACAAGCCGCAUUUAUGUUGAAAUAACUGAAUAUCAAUUUGCAUAACAAUUACUGGCCUGUCUUGAAGGUAAAUGAGACAGCAAGGAGAAUUUAAUCGAAGUACACAACAAAUAAUGCCACUUAAAAAUAUUGUCCUCUGAUAGGCAAUUGGUGGGUUUAUGUAUGAUGCAUGAUCAUUUCCUUGAUACAAGGCCUGCCCCAUGCCUCUUUCUGGAUGGGCUAGCUCUCAAUACACAUAUUGGUGGACGUGUUUUCUCAUACAGAGUAGACUGCAUUGUGUGAUUUGCUAUUUGCAGGUGGUCAUCAGCUAAAUAAACCUAUAAAGAAUACAUUAUUUCAUGCAUGGAAAUAAUGUAUUAGACUUGUUUACAGUCUGCAAUUUAAGUGGUGUUUACAUAAAUUACAUGCUGGUAAUGACCUAAUAGGCCUACUUGCAUUCUGGUUUCUUUGGGUUUUAUUCAAACAAGCAGCAUUUGCACAAAAUACCAGGUAGUUAUAGUUGUGUUGAUUUCUUGGAAGUGGCAACAGAAGUAUCCAUAGUUACUGUAUAAUUUCCUUGUAAAUACCAGGGAAAACACAAGUGAAACAGUAAAUUAAAGUAACCCUACAGUAAAGUAACAGGACUGUAAAGUAUUAGUUAAAUUACUACAGAGUUCAAAUUACUUUAAAAAGUUGCACUCUUCAAGAUUAAGUAUGAACAGAAUUCCAUCAAACUUGGUAUGCAGAGAUAGCAUCUUGUCCCUGCACCAGGAAUGGCAUUUUUUUUAAACGACAAUGGAAAGGACGACUGUUGGUUUCGCCAGGCAAACAUAGUCUACAAUGUAUUUACUAAAUGCAAAAUACUCAAAAGAAAUGUUGACCACAAAGAAAAGUUACACAUAACUUGAACCAAGGUGCACCAUGAUGUCUAAGUUAUAUGCAGCAGAGUAUACCUCAUUUUAGUUUUACAAUUGAGUAGUGGUCGGGUGACCGCCACAACUCAUACCAAAGUCAAAAUACAGGUUUACAUCUCUAAAGUCAUUGGUGCACAAUGCUGAAUGCAGGCCUUCUAUACUUAGUAUAGAGUUUAAAGAGAAAUAGAGUUUAAAGAGAAAACCCAGCAUCUCAAAAAGGUAACGUACUCAUUUCUGUCUUCCGAAAAGUGCUUAGGUGUGCAAUAACUCUGCAGUGAUCUCAAAAGUGUUCUAAGAAUCCUACGACAGCAAUUUCACUCAGUAUUCCACUCAGUUGCUAUAACAUUCACCUUCAAGUAAUUUGCUCUGUCAAACAUAUCCACAGCAGAAUAACAAACAGGGAAUUAAAAGCUUAUGGAAAAAUUAAAACUAGGAGGUUCAAUAGAAUACAUAUCCUCAUAAAUGAGCCUUUUGACACUCGUGUUGUUUGGUUACAGAGGAGUUAGUAAUCCAGAAUGCUGAAAGCUAUCCCAUCACCAGUUUCUGACUGUAACAGUCUCUCAUCAACAAAAUCAAUUUCCCCUCACAUGCAUCAACGAAGUAAGAUUGAUCAAAUCCAGAAAAAGAAUGACACCUUUUGAAUAUGAUCAUAAUACAGUAUACUCAUGUGGAUUUGAAAACUGCCAUGCAUAACCAAACACAUAAAACUUCAGUCACCAAUACAGGUCACAACAUUCUGCAGUCUCAGUAUUACCUGAUGCUCUCAAACAUGUAUAGAAAGGCCCCAAAAAACAGAAAAAGGAUCCAAACACAAAAGGGAGAGCUAUCUGUGCGGACCAUUCUCAGCAUUGACCUGCUCGUCAAUGCCCCAGAACCUCAUCUGCAUUUCUAUUCUUGCCCAGCUUGUGUAUGUGGAAGUAACGCCCAACGGUCACUGACUUGAUGAGCUCUCUGGGUUAGAAAAGCUGGUGCCUUAGACGCUGAGCUGAGCAACUCGGUUAGUUCCUCAAUGGAGUCUGUGGCUCAUUUCCUUUAACGCAUCACUUCUUCUACACCUCAGAAUUCAAAAUGUCCCUAAAAAGGAAUCUCAUUACAUGAUGUACAUUUCUACAAAAAUUCCAUCGUCAAAAAGCUUGUACGUUCUCUCCUCCAACUCUCCAUAACAGUGAUGCAUGAUAUCUUUUGAGCAUCAAAUACACAAAAAGUUCCUGCAUAACUCUUCAUGUUGAUGAAAGUUAAAGUUUGGAUAGAAAGUUGUGCCACAAUUUCAUUCCCUGCCUCUGGACAUGAAAAUGAACAUGAUUUCAUCCGCAACAUUCCAGCCACCACUUUAGUCACGAGACUUUAAGAAGGUCCACAUGCAAAUGCCCACAGACAAUGAAGGAAUAAAUAGCCUGCCCUACAUCUUAGUUAUCAUAAGUUCACAUAUCCCGUGUCAUAAAAUUUAACCUCUCCAAUUGGCAGAGGCAAAGGGCAGUCUGACUCAAAAAGAAAAUACAUAUCAGAAAAGUAUUGAUGUCUCUUGUGUGUCUCUCAAACAAAAGACCCAUCCUGUCCCUUCCCCCCACUGAGUUAUUUAUCCAUAGUUCUUAAAUGCUUCCUAGUCAAACUUGAAUAUGGAAUGAAGCGCUAGGGCUUUGUGGCGGAAAUAUAAUUAAGCUGGUGAAAGAUGUAUAAGGUGAAGAAUAGGGAUGACAUCAGGCCAAUUUCACACUUGGCACUCGGAUGGCCGGGCCCAAGCUAGGCUCUUGCCACGCAACACAGAUCAAAGCACGCUGCCACUACCAAAAAGGCAAAGGAGGACUUAAGUAUGCUAAUCUCCAGGACAAAUAUAUUUUAAUCUUGUUAGAAUACAAGUUAAUGCUGCAGAUCAGUGACUAAACUUUAUAGAGAGUAAGGGAAAUAUUCACUUUCCAACAUUUCUGAAUGAGAUGGUAUUCCUGGACCAUUGAAAUUGCAUUUAAGAAAUUGUACAAAUGGUUUAUCAUAUAGUCCUCAUUACCUGUGUGAAGGUUGCAUUUCAUCUGAGAAACCCCCUCCAGGAGUCCACUCAGCAUACUGCAAAGGCACUAACAUGCGUAGGAAAUGAGCAUUUAGUGGUCCAGUUUGCCCCGCCACUUUGAGCCCCUUGCCAACAGCACCUUGGUAACCCUUGAUCUGUCAUGAAGUUAAGCUCAAGCCCUAGACAUCCAGAGACAGCUAUGCACACAAAGCAAAGCUGACACUUUCUUAAGCCAGAAUAAACUCCCAACACACAACUUCUAGGAAUAUGCAACAAGUUGAAAACUUUUGUUUUGAAAGAACUGGAUGUGCAGUUGGGGGAAAAUUCUGUAAUUCCUGAUGAUAAUCGAAAUUCUAUAUCCUGUUAGUAUUCAACUUGCCUGCUUCAUAGGGUUUAUUUUCAGUCACAUGUAGUCAGUGGAAGUUUGACCCAUACAAAGCUUGACCCAUGCAUUUGUUCUUCGUUCCUUAGCAAAGGAGGUUUACAUUUUUUUUCUCCAAAACUGACCUAAAUCUUUCCACAAAUAAGUGUAGAUACAUGUUGGGUAAAACUUUCCAAAAAUACUAAAUAAUAUUUAGACCAUAAAGCCCCAAAAUACACGUGACUAUUAGUCAUUAUUGGAUGAAGCUGUGAGGGUCAUUAUAUGAAAAAGGAACAACAUUGUCCAUGAGGUUUUGCAUUUCCCUGGCAUAUAGCAGUGUGUUCAAUCUGUAGAUGGUGAAUUUACAACCUGUGUGCUCUGAGAUAUGUGUUAUCACAAUUUUGUAGAUCAUUUACCUGAUUUAGGAAUUUACAAAUGUUUUUAUAGGGAGAUAAUCAUAUCAGGCUAUGUAUAUCUACCAAGGCUCUCCUGGAGGUUCUUUUUCCCCACUUUGCAUUUUUUUUUUGUAACACUGAAAAUUCUGCUUAUCAUCGAAAAGGGCUAUUUUAGAACAACUGUUGGAUCAAUUG